UUGGAGGGCAAGUCUGGUGCCAGCAGCCGCGGUAAUUCCAGCUCCAAUAGCGUAUAUUAAAGUUGCUGCAGUUAAAAAGCUCGUAGUUGAAUUUCGGGACCAUCAUGUCGGUCGUGCCUCGGUACGUACUGGUAUUGUUGGUUUCUCCCUUCUGACGAACCAUGAUGUCAUUUAUUUGGUGUUGUGGGGAAUCAGGACUGUUACUUUGAAAAAAUUAGAGUGUUUAAAGCAGGCUCACGCUUGAAUACAUUAGCAUGGAAUAAUGAAAUAGGACGUUUGAUUCUAUUUUGUUGGUUUCUAGGAUCGACGUAAUGAUUAAUAGGGAUAGUUGGGGGCAUUAGUAUUCAAUUGUCAGAGGUGAAAUUCUUGGAUUUAUUGAAGACUAACUACUGCGAAAGCGUUUGCCAAGGAUGUUUUCAUUAAUCAAGAACGAAAGUUAGGGGAUCGAAGACGAUCAGAUACCGUCGUAGUCUUAACCAUAAACUAUGCCGACUAGGGAUCGGAUGAUGUUAAUUUUUUAAUGACUCAUUCGGCGCCUUACGGGAAAC
rnacentral:rRNA from 1 species